rnacentral:lncRNA from 1 species
GAACCUUAGCCUUAAACAGGAUGUGAACCCUUGUCUUGAAAUUCUCUACCUUGAGUUGGGAUGAGCUUAAUUGUAUGCGAUGAAAAGGUUCAAGUUUGGGGUUGCACGGGGGAAAUUAAAAGGCGAAUGAAAAGCAUUGAGCUCAAAUGUUGUGAAAGAAAAAUUCAUGAGAGAAAGAAAAGAAAAGAAGAAAAGCAUGAAGUUGAGCUCAACGAAAAAGAAAAGGGGAAAAGUUGGGAAUGAGUGAGAUUGGUGAGGAAGAGAGUUGUGCUUAAAUGAUGAAUAUUAUUAUAGCUCUCUUGAUUCAAGGACUUUGCAUUCCGGAAAAACCAAUUUUUCUUGUUAGCCCAACC